rnacentral:rRNA from 1 species
GUGCCAGCAGCCGCGGUAAUACAGAGGGUGCAAGCGUUAAUCGGAGUUACUGGGCGUAAAGGGCGCGUAGGCGGUUUAAUGGGUGUGAUGUGAAAGCCCCGAGCUUAACUUGGGAAGUGCAUCGCAAACUGUUGAGCUGGAGUACAAGAGAGGGUGGCGGAAUUUCCGGUGUAGCGGUGAAAUGCGUAGAGAUCGGAAGGAACGUCAAUGGCGAAGGCAGCCACCUGGCUUGAUACUGACGCUGAGGCGCGAAAGCGUGGGGAGCGAACAGGAUUAGAUACCCUGGUAGUCC